rnacentral:snoRNA from 1 species
GGGCCUGUGAUGAAAUCUGGAACAAAAAAAAUACCAUCUUUCGGGACUGAUUUGGCUUUCAUCAGCCAUGUUGUCACUUCCAAGAUCCUGAGGUCU